UUCAGUUUGAAAUCUUCUGGCGGUAUCUGUGGGAGAGAGUUGAAAGGAUGGAGAAAAUAGUGGAAUUACAGAGUGGGAAAAGAUCGCAGCGACAUCUGGUCCGGCAGUCAUGGGAGUGAGGAGACUGCAGGGAAGUGAAGGAUCUGACUACAUAUCAAAGGAGGAAAUCUACAUGGGUGUGACAAAAAUGAAGCAUGAUUAAGGAGCUGCAACAGGAAGUCAAGUUAGGAAGAAAUGGGAGAGUAAGGUUGAAGCUGUCUGGAGAGAAUUGCAAUGUGAAGAAGACAAAUAUUCACCGCUCAGUCUAGAGGAAACCAGCCAUAAAUUCACUGGCAUCAUAAACUUAGAUCGAUCAAGGUUAUUGUUUGGCAGACUGGAUAAUUUUAGCACUGAUAUACCCUAAUCGUUGUUUUUAGCAUCACUGUCAAUGCUUUCUUCUCGGUGUCUAGCUUGGUCUUUGCCACAUCAGUAUCCUCACUUUUGGCUGCUAUGUCAUCCACAAAACCACACAAACUAGACCAAUUCCAUCAAUAGUGUUUAUGGUAGUUUGUGUUUUUUCAUUUAGUUUUUCACUCAAGUUAUGCCACCCACAGGUUACUACAUUGUUCUGCCUUCAAUGUAACAG
rnacentral:lncRNA from 1 species